rnacentral:rRNA from 1 species
GACGUAGGGGGCGAGCGUUGUCCGGAUUUAUUGGGCGUAAAGAGCGCGUAGGCGGCCCGGAAAGUCGGAUGUGAAAACCCGGGGCUCAACCCCGGGCCUGCAUCCGAUACUCCCGGGCUGGAGGCAGGUAGGGGAGAUCGGAAUUCCCGGUGUAGCGGUGAAAUGCGCAGAUAUCGGGAAGAACACCCGUGGCGAAGGCGGCUCUCUGGGACGGUACUGACGCUGAGACGCGAAAGCGUGGGGAGCGAACAGG